rnacentral:tRNA from 1 species
GGGCCCGUAGCUCAACGGUUAGAGCGCAGAGCUUAUACCUCUGUGGUUGCAGGUUCGAUUCCUGCCGGGCCUACCA